UUGCUCUUCCGAUUUGCAAUUUCAUGCGAAAGGAAGACGUCAAAUUGCUUGUACAUCGAAUGCUUAUGCUCUUCAAAUUUGCUGAGAUUUCCUUUGAAGAUGGUCUAGUAAACCCAAGAACAUU